GACGAACGCUGGCGGCGUGCUUAACACAUGCAAGUCGAAGAUAGUGGCGAACUGGUUAGUAAUACGUGGGUAACCUGCCCUCCUUUUUGGGAUAAGCCUUGGAAACGGGGUCUAAUACCGAAUAAAGGGGGAUGGGCUCGCGGCCUAUCAGCUUGUUGGUGGGGGGAUGGCCUACCAAGGCGGUGACGGGUAGCCGGCCUGAGAGGGUGACCGGCCACAGAGGGACUGAGAAGAGGCCCAGACGCCUAAGGGAGGCAGCAGUGGGGGAUAUUGCACAAUGGGGGAAAGACUGAUGCAGCGACGCCGCGUGGGGGAUGAAGGCUUUCGGGUUGUAAACGUCGUUCGCUAUAGAACGGGUAGGUGGAGAAGAAGCGCCGGCUAACUACGUGCCAGCAGCCGCGGUAAUAC
rnacentral:rRNA from 1 species